rnacentral:rRNA from 1 species
ACAGGGAUUGCCCUAGUAACGGCGAGUGAAGCGGCAACAGCUCAAAUUUGAAAUCUGGCCCUCGGGUCCGAGUUGUAAUUUGUAGAGGAUGCUUUUGGUGCGGCGCCUUCCGAGUUCCCUGGAACGGGACGCCAUAGAGGGUGAGAGCCCCGUCUGGUUGGACGCCAAUCCUCUGUAAAGCUCCUUCGACGAGUCGAGUAGUUUGGGAAUGCUGCUCUAAAUGGGAGGUAUAUGUCUUCUAAAGCUAAAUACCGGCCAGAGACCGAUAGCGCACAAGUAGAGUGAUCGAAAGAUGAAAAGCACUUUGAAAAGAGAGUUAAAAAGUACGUGAAAUUGUUGAAAGGGAAGCGCUUGUGACCAGACUUGGGCUUGGUUGAUCAUCCAGGGUUCUCCCCGGUGCACUCUUCCAGUCCAGGCCAGCAUCAGUUCGCCGCGGGGGACAAAAGCUUCGGGAAUGUGGCUCCCUCGGGAGUGUUAUAGCCCGCUGCGCAAUACCCUGCGGCGGACUGAGGUUCGCGCUCCGCAAGGAUGCUGGCGUAAUGGUCACCAGUGACCCGUCUUGAAACACGGACCAAGGAGUCGUCUUCGUAUGCGAGUGUUCGGGUGUUAAACCCCUACGCGGAAUGAAAGUGAACGCAGGUGAGAGCUUCGGCGCAUCACCGACCGAUCCUGAUGUUCUCGGAUGGAUUUGAGUAAGAGCAUACGGGGCCGGACCCGAAAGAAGGUGAACUAUGCCUGUAUAGGGUGAAGCCAGAGGAAACUCUGGUGGAGGCUCGCAGCGGUUCUGACGUGCAAAUCGAUCGUCAAAUAUGGGCAUGGGGGCGAAAGACUAAUCGAACCUUCUAGUAGCUGGUUUCCGCCGAAGUUUCCCUCAGGAUAGCAGUGUUGAACUCAGUUUUAUGAGGUAAAGCGAAUGAUUAGGGACUCGGGGGCGCUAUUUAGCCUUCAUCCAUUCUCAAACUUUAAAUAUGUAAGAAGCCCUUGUUGCUUAGUUGAACGUGGGCAU